rnacentral:lncRNA from 1 species
CAAAGUGCUGGGAUUACAGGCAUGACCAAAUGUGCUCCUUUACCAAUUGUUUCUGUCUCAGGAAUUGGUUUCUUGUUGCACUGUGAUACACAUGAAGCCAUAUACCUUUUUCAGCUCAUUAUCCCCAGAAUGUAUUUGUACAUUAUUAACACAGAAUAGACACCUAAUAAAUAUUUCUAAAUUUUUAUUGUUCUUCCUUGCCACAAAACAGCAAUCACUUUUUUUUAGCAUGAUGUACAUGCCCUUCUAUCAUGUUGCCCUGAACUAUUUAUCAAAUCUUAUUUCUUCCCACUCCCCCAUUUGUUUCCCACGCUGUGGCUGUACAAAACUACUUAGAGCUCUGUCAACUCUCCAUGCUAUUUUAUAAUAAUCAACACUAAUGAAAAGAAAAGGGGCUUUAUAACAGAGGCAGAACUCAUUAUGUUCUAAAAAAUACACGCAUGUUUCCCAUGUUGAAUAGUGUCCCGCAGAAAGUCAUGUCCAGCUGGAACCCAGGAAUGUUAAACUAUUUGGAAACAGGGUCUCUGCAGAUAACACUUGGUUAAGACAAGGUCACAAUGCAUUAGGGUGGGCUGUAAAGCCAAUGGCUGUGUCCUUUCAGGAAGGUCGUGGGAACAUACAGAGACCUACAGGGAAGACGGCCAUGGGACAAGGGAGGCAGAGUCUGGAGUUACGCUGCCUACAGUCACGGAAUGCCAAGGACAGCUGGAAACCAUCAGAAGCUAAGAAGGAGAUUUUACCUGAAAGCCUCUCAAAGAAAUCAAUCAUACUCACACCUCCUUUUUGAAUUUCUGGCCUCGUGAAUGGUGAAAAAAUAAAUUUCUGUCAUCUUAAGCCCCACGGUUUGUAGUCAUUUGUUCUGUCAUCUUAAGCCCCA